AUUUUUUAUGCAAAAAAGCCUUCUAUUAAGGAAAAGUAUUUUUAAUUUCUGAAUUUUUUUAUCCAAACAAUAAAAAUCAUAAAAAAGAGUGCUUUUUAUCAUAGUUAGUUAAUUCGGAUUCGGCAAAAAUUCGUUACGAAUAUAAUACGCAUAAAAUUUAUUUUCUAAUUUUUAAAUUUAUUGAAAAAUUCGGCUUAAAAAACGGAUUCGGUAUAAAAUAUAAAAUAUAAGAUAAUUUAUAUUUAAAAAUAAAAAUUAUAAGUUUUUUAUUCAUAUUUUCAAUAAUUCGUGAAUAAUUCGGUUGGCUAAAAAAUUCGCUACUAAUUCUCUUUUUUUGAAAAAAAUUCGUAAACGGACUGUUUAAUUCGAAUUUUCAAUAAUUCGCGAAUAAUUCGCGAAAAAUUCACAAAUUAACUAACUAGGCUUUUUAUAGAUUUUUUUUUUUU
rnacentral:lncRNA from 1 species